rnacentral:lncRNA from 1 species
GACCUGCUCGUACCGGAAGUGCUUUUCCCUUUGGGGUCAGCUCCCCGGAAGCGAUUCUUCGCCCUCUCGCCCCAGCGGCCUCCAGGGCGGUUCCGCAGCUCGAGAGGGCGGUGCCCCGGGCCAGGUCGGCGGAAGUCCCGUUUCAGAGUUUCAAGGCAUACGUUUGUGUUUUCCCUAAGCAGUUACUGAAGAGCCUGGACUGUGUCGUUGGGCAGCGUUCACAUCCUCAAUAUGCCCCAGACCGUGUGGCCUUGGACGGGUUGCAUAACCUCUCUGAGCUUCCCGGGUGAUGAAGUCCGCGUUAUCAAUAAAUUGUAUAGCUCGUGCCGUAGAGGGGACCCUUUAACAGACAGUCCCUGUUAUGUCCGGUGGCACCAGUGGCUCCGGUCCGACCUGAGAAGCAGCUUUAAAUGCGGGCCAAGCUGGCUGACCUUCCCCACGCAGAUUUAGAGGACUCUGGCAAUUCUUUUCCUUAAUGAAGAAUGCCUUCCCUGCCUAAUCCUAAUGCCUGAACUUCAAGGAAUCCCAGACACCCUGUUGAAUGGUCUCCAGGUUCCCUUGCUUCAGAACAGACACUGACUGGCACUGUAGGUACAGAGGAGAAUGUGGGAAAUGCUUCUGUCUCUGCCUGAAGCCAAACAGGGAGGAGGGACGCCCCCGGAAGUCUACCUGGGCUUUUUAUUUUCCUUUCUGGCCCUGGACACCUGUGUGCAAGAGUCCUGGAUGCGAUGAUGAAAGAAGAGAUUUAUCAUCUUCUUUAAGAGGGCAACUUCCGCCUACUCCCUUGGGCCCAUGGAGGCUCAGAAUGUUCCAGUAUAACUAGGGAGAAGGACACAGUCUCUGAAAGGCAAGUAUAGAAAGCACAUUAAUAGUUUCCAGAAUAUUACCUUUAGAACACUGCUGUUCUCUAUGUCAUAGCAAGUGAGGCAUUUCAGGGUCAGAUGGACAUUUAUGUGUGCCAUGUGCAUUAAGGGUCAUAAGCCGUGAAUUAUAGAACCAAUAGGGAGCUACUAGAGAAAGGAAGGUGGUUUCAGGUUCCAAGGUAGCAAAAUUGCUAGUGAUUUGACCAGAGAUGCUAUUUCAGUAGAAACCAGGUGGAAUGUCAAGGCAGGGAGGCCCAGGAGGUCUACCAGGUGACUUAAAAUCAGGAGCUUAAGUGUCCUCUAGGAGAUUUUGAGGGAACAGAGAACAAAGAGACAGGAC